rnacentral:misc_RNA from 1 species
CCGAGUUUACAAACUCCCAACCCAUGUGUAUUUUACCUUUACGUUGCUUCGGCGGGAUCGCCCCGGGCUCUGCUCCGGAUCAAGGCGCCCGCCGGAGGACCCAAACUCUUGUUUUUACAGUGGUAUCUUCUGAGUAAUAUAAACAAAUAAUCA